AUUGAACGCUGGCGGCAUGCCUUACACAUGCAAGUCGAACGGCAGCACGGAGCUUGCUCUGGUGGCGAGUGGCGAACGGGUGAGUAAUAUAUCGGAACGUACCCAAGAGUGGGGGAUAACGUAGAGAAAAUUACGCUAAUACCGCAUACGAUCUCAGGAUGAAAGCAGGGGACCUUCGGGCCUUGUGCUCCUGGAGCGGCCGAUAUCUGAUUAGCUAGUUGGUGGGGUAAAGGCCCACCAAGGUAACGAUCAGUAGCUGGUCUGAGAGGACGACCAGCCACACUGGAACUGAGACACGGUCCAGACUCCUACGGGAGGCAGCAGUGGGGAAUUUUGGACAAUGGGGGCAACCCUGAUCCAGCAAUGCCGCGUGAGUGAAGAAGGCCUUCGGGUUGUAAAGCUCUUUUGUCAGGGAAGAAAAGGGAUUGGCUAAUAUCUAGUCCUCAUGACGGUACCUGAAGAAUAAGCACCGGCUAACUACGUGCCAGCCGCCGCCGUAA
rnacentral:rRNA from 1 species